UUGAAAAAUGGAUAAGAUAAUAAAACAAAAAAAUGGUAAGUAUAAACAUUAUUAUAUUGGUUUUCAAUUAUUAAUUAUUGUUUAUUAGAUCAAAUUAUGAAGCUGCAGGCCCAGUUAUUGGAACAACACAAAAUAUUAGAUAACAAAGCUAAGGAUCGUAGGCCUAACACGUAAUGAUUCUAUUUAUUUGCUUUUAUUCAUUCGUGUUUUGUAGCUCAAAUUUUGAGUCUUCAAGCUCAGCUAGGGGAAAAGAACAAAUUGGAACGGAACAGUUUCCAAACAGUGAAGGAGGUUUUUCAAAACUCAUCUCUAACUGAACGUGAGGAUGAGUUGGCAUUAGGUGAACACAGCCAGUUAUUCAGUCCACCACAUGACAGUGUGUUAAAUUUAAAUUCUGUUAGUGCUGCACUAAAAGAAUCGUUAGUAAUAAGCUCAUGCAGUGAAGGAACUGAACAAUUGUGGGAACGUAUUUGGGCCGAAAAUGGGUGUGGUACAGAAACCCAGAAAUGGCACAAGUUCAACAUGAAACAUGGAUUAGAUUUUAACGGGGGAUCAAAUCAAGUCUGGAAGUGUUACAGGAUGGAAGAGUGAGCCUACAGAUGAAAAAACACUGAGAGUGCAUUACCGUAAGGUGUGAGGUAAAUUAAUAGAGUAAUGCAAAUUGCCUAAUGAGAAGUACCAUCUUGUGUUAAUGAAUCCAGUACAACAGCAAUCCUUUAUAGUUCUGUCACAGCUAGAAGCCUCAAAUAAUUCUGCUUCUCUGGCUAAACAACUGGUCCUUUACAUUUACAGUGUUGGUGAAACUGGGUACUUAAAUGGCCCUAAAGAUGUUUCAUUUCGUUGGCAUUGCAGCGAUGAACAUCAUACAUGGACUUUUUAGGAAAGGAUUUUCAUGUACUGGGAACACAACUAUCAACAAUGCAACAUUCUACAGGUGCUAGUUUAUAUUCAAGAGCCUUAUACAAUGAUGUUAAUGUACAAUUUGAAUGUCCUUUCCCAAGCUUCCACCAGAAGUUGAAUCUAUGAGUCAUGUAAGUUCCAUGAUCAACAAUUGAUGUGUUUAACGGUGUUGUUUUUCUUUUCUCAAUAUAGGUUAAUAGUAACAUUGGAUCUGAAAAGAUUCUUGGUUGGGGCAAGACACUGAAUAAAUUGUAUUGAUUGGAUGGAUGACAUGACAUUGCUAUACUUAAUUCGGAUUCCCCAGACGGUAUUUGAUAUUAAAAAAAUUGAAGUGCAUAUCUGGGCUCCCUUCUUUUCUGAAGCCCCGUUUCCCCUUGACUCAUAAUAAGCCCGUAGGGGGUCAUGCCCCUACUGUACGGUAUAUAUAAAAACAACAUAUACCGAGGUUUGGA